AUGAACGCUAGCUACAGGCUUAACACAUGCAAGUCGAGGGGCAGCAUGGUCUUAGCUUGCUAAGGCCGAUGGCGACCGGCGCACGGGUGAGUAACACGUAUCCAACCUGCCGUCUACUCUUGGACAGCCUUCUGAAAGGAAGAUUAAUACAAGAUGGCAUCAUGAGUCCGCAUGUUCACAUGAUUAAAGGUAUUCCGGUAGACGAUGGGGAUGCGUUCCAUUAGAUAGUAGGCGGGGUAACGGCCCACCUAGUCUUCGAUGGAUAGGGGUUCUGAGAGGAAGGUCCCCCACAUUGGAACUGAGACACGGUCCAAACUCCUACGGGAGGCAGCAGUGAGGAAUAUUGGUCAAUGGGCGAGAGCCUGAACCAGCCAAGUAGCGUGAAGGAUGACUGCCCUAUGGGUUGUAAACUUCUUUUAUAAAGGAAUAAAGUCGGGUAUGCAUACCCGUUUGCAUGUACUUUAUGAAUAAGGAUCGGCUAACUCCGUGCCAGCAGCCGCGGUAAUACGGAGGAUCCGAGCGUUAUCCGGAUUUAUUGGGUUUAAAGGGAGCGUAGAUGGAUGUUUAAGUCAGUUGUGAAAGUUUGCGGCUCAACCGUAAAAUUGCAGUUGAUACUGGAUAUCUUGAGUGCAGUUGAGGCAGGCGGAAUUCGUGGUGUAGCGGUGAAAUGCUUAGAUAUCACGAAGAACUCCGAUUGCGAAGGCAGCCUGCUAAGCUGCAACUGACAUUGAGGCUCGAAAGUGUGGGUAUCAAACAGGAUUAGAUACCCUGGUAGUCCACACGGUAAACGAUGAAUACUCGCUGUUUGCGAUAUACAGCAAGCGGCCAAGCGAAAGCGUUAAGUAUUCCACCUGGGGAGUACGCCGGCAACGGUGAAACUCAAAGGAAUUGACGGGGGCCCGCACAAGCGGAGGAACAUGUGGUUUAAUUCGAUGAUACGCGAGGAACCUUACCCGGGCUUAAAUUGCAGAUGAAUUACGGUGAAAGCCGUAAGCCGCAAGGCAUCUGUGAAGGUGCUGCAUGGUUGUCGUCAGCUCGUGCCGUGAGGUGUCGGCUUAAGUGCCAUAACGAGCGCAACCCUUGUUGUCAGUUACUAACAGGUUCCGCUGAGGACUCUGACAAGACUGCCAUCGUAAGAUGUGAGGAAGGUGGGGAUGACGUCAAAUCAGCACGGCCCUUACGUCCGGGGCUACACACGUGUUACAAUGGGGGGUACAGAGGGCCGCUACCACGCGAGUGGAUGCCAAUCCCAAAAACCUCUCUCAGUUCGGACUGGAGUCUGCAACCCGACUCCACGAAGCUGGAUUCGCUAGUAAUCGCGCAUCAGCCACGGCGCGGUGAAUACGUUCCCGGGCCUUGUACACGCCGCCCGUCAAGCCAUGGGAGCCGGGGGUACCUGAAGUGCGUAACCGCGAGGAGCGCCCUAGGGUAAAACUGGUGACUGGGGCU
rnacentral:rRNA from 1 species